CUGGCAAGACUUUGUGGAGAUUUGUAAAAAUUUGCCCAAUCUCAUUCAUAUUAAAUUUGCCCGCUUUGAUGAAUCUGCCGAUUGUAUCCGCCUUCUCGAGAUGAAAAGAAACCUCAAAGACAUUUCCCACCUCAAAAGCAUAACUUGUGGAGAAUUAUGCUGCCGAAUUAUGGAAUUUUUUGAAAAGAAUCUGCCCGAUUUUCAAUGGUGCUGCGCAGGACCACUCACUAAUCAUGCCAAAGCGUUUGAUCUCGACGGAAACAACAAAAAAACAGCGACAGCGCGUUCAUUCAUGUACAGACCUUUGUACCAUCGCUUCGCCAAUAAGAUUCCUGCCAAGUUCCCAAAUAUAGUGUCAUAUCAGAUGGACUGUCAUGAAGCGAAAUACAAAGAUUCUCUCCUUCAACAUCUGCCGGAUUUUCGGGUACUUCAGAAUUUGCGCUUUGCGAGGCUGAAUGAUCCGCAAAUUUUGUACCACGCUUUGGUGAAGUACGGUGGAAACUUGCGAAAGGUCACCGUUAUCGGGCACGGAGAGCCAAGUUUAGAUAUUGAACGCAUUUUUGAGCUCAGCCCCAAUUUGGAACACCUGGAACUGGUAGGGGUUCGCCUGAUCAACCAUUCAGGUCAGAUUAACCACUCGAGGCUCAUGAAACUCGCGCUGGUGAACACAAGAUGCGACGAAAAAUCCAGCAUUCUACUUGCUCCGCAACUUCAGGUGGUAACGCUCUGUGGACAUUACUCUGAACUGCUGUAUUUGUGUUUUGAACCGUUAAUGCAUAACGUUAGCGCGAUAUUCAUGGCUACUAGACAAUAUCGUUACACUAAGAUGAUCAAAAUUUCGAAGUUGACGAUGGUCGUGACAGACUUUGAAAAUAUUUCUGAUGGAGAGUUCAUAGGUCUAUCUCAAUAUAUUCUUCUCUUUUCUUCCAUUUGUGUACCGUUUCUGACAGAUUUCCACUUGUUUUUCGGUGAAAUCGGCGAGAUUGAUGACGUGCACUAUUUGCAAGUAGACCCAUUUCACAGGAUUGAUUUGGCAGUCGAUGCCAACUUAAUCGAGAUUUUGAAAGCGUACCAUUGAUAUACUGCCCGGA